UACGUAGGGUGCAAGCGUUGUCCGGAAUUAUUGGGCGUAAAGAGCUCGUAGGCGGUUUGUCGCGUCUGCUGUGAGAACUCGGGGCUUAACCCCGGGCCUGCAGUGGGUACGGGCAGACUAGAGUGCGGUAGGGGAGACUGGAAUUCCUGGUGUAGCGGUGAAAUGCGCAGAUAUCAGGAGGAACACCGGUGGCGAAGGCGGGUCUCUGGGCCGUAACUGACGCUGAGGAGCGAAAGCGUGGGGAGCGAACAGG
rnacentral:rRNA from 1 species